rnacentral:lncRNA from 1 species
GCCAGGCUCAUGCCUAUAAUCCCAGCACUUUGGGAGGCCAAGGCAGGUUGGAUCACUUGAGGUCAGGAGUUCGAGACCAGCCCGACCAACAUGGUGAAACCCCAUCUCUGCUAAAAAUACAAAAUUAGCUGGGCGUGGUGGCACAUGCCUGUAAUCCCAGCUACUCUGGAGGCUGAGUCAGGAGAAUCACUUGAAUCCGGG